ACCAGCAUGGUGUAGUGGUUUGUGUGUCAGACUAUGACUCUGGAAAUCAGGGUUCGAUUCCCUGCUAGAC